rnacentral:rRNA from 1 species
UACAGAGGGUGCGAGCGUUAAUCGGAAUUACUGGGCGUAAAGCGCGCGUAGGCGGCUUUUCAAGUCGAUUGUGAAAUCCCCGGGCUUAACCUGGGAACUGCAGUCGAGACUGUCUAGCUAGAGUAUGGGAGAGGGAAGUGGAAUUUCAGGUGUAGCGGUGAAAUGCGUAGAUAUCUGAAGGAACAUCAGUGGCGAAAGCGACUUCCUGGACCAAUACUGACGCUCAUGUGCGAAAGCGUGGGGAGCAAACGGG